UUUAUGUUUUCAUUUGAAGUAACCAUGUUAGAGAUCAGUGUUUGCUUUAGUUGGGCUCUUGACCCUUGAUUUCUGUCUAUAGAUAGCCAGCAGCUUCUGGGUCUGAAACUGGCUCAGGAUUACACCAGCCCCAGUGAAUAUACAGGAGAGCUCUUUGGUGUGGAAUAUUUGUAUUCCCAAACCAGCAGAGCGUUUGAGGAAGACUUAGGUGUAGAUCCUGAUAUUCCAGAUGGAAUUCAGGAUGAAGACCUGCAGGGUGAUCUGGAGGGUGAUGAGGGGUUUGAGGAUCUGUGCCUUGAUGAGCCCAUUGAAUUUUUGGAACUCGAGGGCAAUGACCUGCAGCCCCCUCAGGAACAGACAGUGGCCCUACAACCUCCUGAUGAAGAGUGUGGGACCAGAUGGCCAAGCUGGUUAUGACCAAGUCAUUAGGCUAGCCGACAGUCUGGUUGACCUGCCCCAUCAGGGGUUUGUCACUCAGAGUAAGGUGGAUGAGAUUGUCGUGCUGUGGAACAACCUGUCAGAUCAUGACAAGGGCCCUCUCAUCUAUGUAUCUUGGCUAUAAUCAUAACCAGUCUCGUUACCAAUGUUAUCCACUUGUUUGACCGCUAUCUGUCAAAUAGUCUGAUUAACUGUACUUUCCUCCUUUUUCACUUUGCAGAUGCUUCCUUGGUGAAGGUGGACCAGCUCAGUGGCCCAGCACAAGCCGAGUAGUGGAAGCCAUCUGCCUGGCUCUCUGCUGAAUUUACCCUGCCGGUCAGACCAUCGCCGGGGUCCGGGUAAACCAAUGGGCUGCCAUCCUAAGGGAUUACAGGAGGAUCCGAGACAUAGUCCUGGGCAGCCCCGGAAUCAUGGCUCAGACAAAGUUAAAGGUCUUUAAGCUAAACCAGCUCACUAUCUCCCAGUGGUACGUUCAGUAAUUGUACAGCGUGGCGGCGAAAGAAGCUGGCAGAGGCAGCCGCUGCAGCUCAAGGUUUGAACUCUAAAAAACAACAAAUACCUCAGCAGUUCCUCUGCCAAAAGUGUGGCCAGCCAAAGACUAAAGAAUUUGGCCACAGCCAGUUCCGGGGUGUCCACUUUUGUGCAAAGGCUUCUGGGAAGACUGUGGCACAGUGGAUGGAGGAAGUCAAGAGAGGAGAGACUAAAUAGACAA